UGUGAGCUGAAUGAUGGCCCUUCCAAUGCAAGAGUCGUUUAUUAAAAAGAACAGAAAGACCCUUUUAAGAUGCUCUGCUUAUGAAAUAUCCCUCGUGUGGUACCACAAGUUCACUGAGCUGCUUUAAGAAAUGGCACUAAGAAUGAUGGGACAAUCCCCUGGAGAAGAAGAAUACUCCACUACAGUAUUCUUGCUUGGAGACUAUCAUGGACAAAGGAGCCUGAUGCUGUGAACUUCUGGAAAAUGAAGCCCUGCCUGGACCUCGGCCUCCUCCCUGCCCUGGAAGCCCCGGUGGGCUCUUCCCAUGGAGGCAGAGGAGAUCCCUGACGGUCAUGAUGAGCAGGAGCUGAUGUGACAGCCCGGGUGAUGGCCUGACGCUCUGAUCUGAGGAUAAGCCAGUCCUGGCAGACGGUGCGCCUGAUGCCAGACCAACACUCAGGAGCUGAGCUUGGCCUGCGAUGCCGUUUCUGCAGGCCCAUCAGAUACUCUGCAGCCUGAUCAACUGGGGUGACUGGUCCAUCCCAUUCCCGCCCGAGGGACACUGGGCGACGUCUGCAGACAUCUUGGGUGUCACAACUUGGGGGUUGGAAGCAAGGGAUGCUGCUGGACACCCGACUGCAUGCAGGACACCCCCCACUCUAGCAGAGGAUGGCCCAGCCCUGAGAUCAACACUGUCCAGGUUGAGAAACACUAGCUUUCUUAUGCAAAUAUUUCUUUUCACAAGUUCUUAUAAAAAUGUAUUAUCAUUAAAGUUUCAGAAAUAUGUAUUUUUGAGAAU